AUAUAUUUUAUUUUAUAUUCAUACAAAUGUCUUCUUCAAUUUUUAUUACAGGCCUGCAAGCUGCCUAGGCAGGAGGAAAUUUUGAAUGAACUCAGCUUUCAGUGACCAGGAGUGGAGACAUAAAAAGAGCUUUUCAGCCUCUCUGGUUACAGAGAUAAGUACAAAAGGGAGUUGUGAAAAGAAAUCUGGGAAUUUCAUCUUGCUUGGUGGAGUACUCUCAGCACAGCUGGCUUAUGGUCCUCCUGUGGUGACCAAGAAUGUGUGAGGAUGAGUGGUCAGUAGGAUGGCAAGAGAACUGACUUCAGGGGCCUCCUUCUGAAGACAGUCAGUGCCUCCAACGAACAUUACUGGAUGGAAGCAUAAUCUAUCCACACCUCAGCAAUAAGAGAUUGUGCCAGUCCGUGACACGCAAAGUUGCAGAGUGCUCCUCCAAGCAUAGCACCAGCCCUCAGUGAUUUCUUAUAGAUAUUUACUUUCACACAUGGCAUAUAGAACAUUAAAAGGGUUUUGAAAAAUCCCUCAGUUUUCAACUUCUGAAGGAUUAUUAACUUCAAAGUCUGAAGAAAUGUCGCCCUUCUAUCUUUGGAAAUGCCAGGAGCCUUUGCAUAUUCUUACCACAGGACCAAGCAACCCCCAGCAGAGAAGAACGAUUACUGCCUCGGUGGC
rnacentral:lncRNA from 1 species